GACGAACGCUGGCGGCGUGCCUAAUACAUGCAAGUAGAACGCUGAAGGAGGAGCUUGCUUCUCUGGAUGAGUUGCGAACGGGUGAGUAACGCGUAGGUAACCUGCCUGGUAGCGGGGGAUAACUAUUGGAUACGAUAGCUAAUACCGCAUAAGAGUAGAUGUUGCAUGACAUUUGCUUAAAAGGUGCAAUUGCAUCACUACCAGAUGGACCUGCGUUGUAUUAGCUAGUUGGUGGGGUAACGGCUCACCAAGGCGACGAUACAUAGCCGACCUGAGAGGGUGAUCGGCCACACUGGGACUGAGACACGGCCCAGACUCCUACGGGAGGCAGCAGUAGGGAAUCUUCGGCAAUGGACGGAAGUCUGACCGAGCAACGCCGCGUGAGUGAAGAAGGUUUUCGGAUCGUAAAGCUCUGUUGUAAGAGAAGAACGAGUGUGAGAGUGGAAAGUUCACACUGUGACGGUAUCUUACCAGAAAGGGACGGCUAACUACGUG
rnacentral:rRNA from 1 species